GACGAACGCUGGCGGCGUGCUUAAUACAUGCAAGUCAACUUGACUUUAGAUAGCAAUAUCGAAAAGUAGGGUGGCGCACGGGUGCGUAACGCGUAGGUAAUCUGCCCUGAGGUCUGACAUAACCCGUCGAAAGGCGGGCUAACAUCAGAUGAUAUAUAGUCACGACAUCGUGGAAAUAUCAAAAUCUUCGGAGCCUUGGGAUGAGCCUGCGUCUGAUUAGGUAGUUGGCGGAGUAAUAGCCCACCAAGCCUACGAUCAGUAGCUGGUCUGAGAGGAUGAUCAGCCACACUGGAACUGAGACACGGUCCAGACUCCUACGGGAGGCAGCAGUAAGGAAUAUUGCUCAAUGGGGAAACCCUGAAGCAGCAACGCCGCGUG
rnacentral:rRNA from 1 species